AUUGAACGCUGGCGGCAGGCCUAACACAUGCAAGUCGAACGGUAACAGGAAGCAGCUUGCUGCUUUGCUGACGAGUGGCGGACGGGUGAGUAAUGUCUGGGAAACUGCCUGAUGGAGGGGGAUAACUACUGGAAACGGUAGCUAAUACCGCAUAACGUCGCAAGACCAAAGAGGGGGACCUUCGGGCCUCUUGCCAUCGGAUGUGCCCAGAUGGGAUUAGCUAGUAGGUGGGGUAACGGCUCACCUAGGCGACGAUCCCUAGCUGGUCUGAGAGGAUGACCAGCCACACUGGAACUGAGACACGGUCCAGACUCCUACGGGAGGCAGCAGUGGGGAAUAUUGCACAAUGGGCGCAAGCCUGAUGCAGCCAUGCCGCGUGUAUGAAGAAGGCCUUCGGGUUGUAAAGUACUUUCAGCGGGGAGGAAGGGAGUAAAGUUAAUACCUUUGCUCAUUGACGUUACCAGCAGAAGAAGCACCGGCUAACUCCGUG
rnacentral:rRNA from 1 species